GAUGAGUAGGGCGGGACACGUGGUAUCCUGUCUGAAUAUGGGGGGACCAUCCUCCAAGGCUAAAUACUCCUGACUGACCGAUAGUGAACCAGUACCGUGAGGGAAAGGCGAAAAGAACCCCGGCGAGGGGAGUGAAAAAGAACCUGAAACCGUGUACGUACAAGCAGUGGGAGCACAGAGCAAUCUGUGUGACUGCGUACCUUUUGUAUAAUGGGUCAGCGACUUAUAUUCUGUAGCAAGGUUAACCGAAUAGGGGAGCCGAAGGGAAACCGAGUCUUAACUGGGCGUUAAGUUGCAGGGUAUAGACCCGAAACCCGGUGAUCUAGCCAUGGGCAGGUUGAAGGUUGGGUAACACUAACUGGAGGACCGAACCGACUAAUGUUGAAAAAUUAGCGGAUGACUUGUGGCUGGGGGUGAAAGGCCAAUCAAACCGGGAGAUAGCUGGUUCUCCCCGAAAGCUAUUUAGGUAGCGCCUCGUGAAUUCAUCUCCGGGGGUAGAGCACUGUUUCGGCAAGGGGGUCAUCCCGACUUACCAACCCGAUGCAAACUGCGAAUACCGGAGAAUGUUAUCACGGGAGACACACGGCGGGUGCUAACGUCCGUCGUGAAGAGGGAAACAACCCAGACCGCCAGCUAAGGUCCCAAAGUCAUGGUUAAGUGGGAAACGAUGUGGGAAGGCCCAGACAGCCAGGAUGUUGGCUUAGAAGCAGCCAUCAUUUAAAGAAAGCGUAAUAGCUCACUGGUCGAGUCGGCCUGCGCGGAAGAUGUAACGGGGCUAAACCAUGCACCGAAGCUGCGGCAGCGACGCUUAUGCGUUGUUGGGUAGGGGAGCGUUCUGUAAGCCUGUGAAGGUGUACUGUGAGG
rnacentral:rRNA from 1 species